AGGUUACUGCUAUCGGUGUUCGCCUAAGCCCAUGCGAGUCAUAUGUUCGUAAGAACAUGGCGUACUGCUCAGUAACACGUGGAUAACCUGCCUUUGGUCCGGCAUAACCCCGGGAAACUGGGGAUAAUUCCGGAUAACGCACAUAUGCUGGAAUGCUUUAUGCGUAAAAUGGAUUCGUCUGCCCAAGGAUGGGUCUGCGCCCUAUCAGGUAGUAGUGGGUGUAAUGUACCUACUAGCCUACGACGGGUACGGGUUGUGAGAGCAAGAGCCCGGAGAUGGAUUGUGAGACAUGAAUCCAGGCCUUACGGGGCGCAGCAGGCGCGAAAACCUUACAAUGCGGGAAACCGUGAUAAGGGGACACCGAGUGCCAGCAUCCUAUGCUGGCUGUCCGGGUGUGUAAAAUACACCUGUUAGCAAGGGCCGGGCAAGACCGGUGCCAGCCGCCGCGGUAACACCGGCGGCCCGAGUGGUGAUCGUGAUUAUUGGGUCUAAAGGGUCCGUAGCCGGUUUGGUCAGUCCUCCGGGAAAUCUGACAGCUUAACUGUUAGGCUUUCGGAGGAUACUGCCAGACUUGGAACCGGGAGAGGUAAGAGGUACUACAGGGGUAGGAGUGAAAUCUUGUAAUCCCUGUGGGACCACCUGUGGCGAAGGCGUCUUACCAGAACGGGUUCGACGGUGAGGGACGUAAGCUGGGGGCACGAACCGGAUUAGAUACCCGGGUAGUCCCAGCCGUAAACGAUGCUCGCUAGGUGUCAGGCAUGGCGCGACCGUGUCUGGUGCCGCAGGGAAGCCGUGAAGCGAGCCACCUGGGAAGUACGGCCGCAAGGCUGA
rnacentral:rRNA from 1 species